UUUUUUUUUUUUUUUUUUGACGUGGAGUUUCACUCUUGUUCCCCAGGUUGGAGUGCAGUGGUGUGAUCUUGGCUCACUGCAACCUCCGCCUCCUGGGUUCAAGCGAUUCUCCUGCCUCAGCCUCCAGAGUAGCUGGGAUUACAGGCAUGCGCCACUAUGCCAGGCUAGUUUUGUAUUUUUAAUAGAGAUAGGGUUUCUCCCAUGUUGGUCAGGCUGGAUAACAUUUUUAUUUCCCCUCGCAAGCCCUUCGCACCAACAUGGAGGACUUCUUUUUGACUGCUUUAUUCUUCAUGGUCUUUUCCAAGAGAUUCAAAUGCUCCUUAUUCUUUAAGUGGGGUUCACUAGGCAGAGGCAAAAUCUGUCUCCACCAUCUUUAAACUGUGUACAAGUUUGGAAGUCACCUGAAAUCACACCCUGAGCAGGGCAUACUUGUCCUGAGUAGUAAGCCAUGGUGUCCUCUCCUCAGGGUGGGGAAGCAACACACACAAUGCUAAAAAUCAACACCAAAAACAAACACAAAGUCUGCCUUGUACUACACAUGUGUGAAUGAUCCUCCCAUUAACAGGAGUGACAAACUUCUGAAUUUUUAAAAUGUGUUUCAGCAAUCAUUAUAUCACAGAGGAUGCAAUCAAGGAAACCAAGCUCAGAUUCAUUCACAGUUAAUGGGGUACACUGAGCCUGGCAGCCAGUUCUCAUGCCAGGACAGUGAAGGCUUGUGAUAAAGCUCUUUCCUAGCUUUGGUAACAGGUAUCAGGUUCUGGAGCCGUGAAGAGAACAGCAGAUCCCAAGAGCGCAUGUCAUGUUUUCAACAUUAGGUACUCUUCUAAUUUCUCAUCAAAAAGUAGGCGGCUCCCUAGAGCAGCUUAUUUAGAGGCUGAGGGUGGCCUCCGGUAGUUCUCAUCAUAAAUCAAACAUUACAGCUGCCAGCCCCUUGAGGCUAAGCGUUCUGCUGAUAUGCUCCAGAUCAGAAAAUUCUUGUUAGGGACCUGUGACACUCACUCAGGAUGUGACAUGGUGGCCAACAGUUGGCCUGUCCUGAAAGCAGGGUCUCAAUAUAAGGGGCAGAGGGCUCAGGCAGCACCCCUGCCCAGCCUGACCACUUUAGAACCGGGCUAGUCUCUGGGGGCCUGGCCUUUCUGCAGGUGGCUGAGGGUGAGGGUGCCGGGACCCUAGACAGGCUUCACUACCAGAUCCUCGGCUGACCCUCUCCAGGGGCUGGCAGGUCUCACGGUACUUAUGCUGCACUUGACUGUGCCCUGGUCUCAGCUCUCCACAACACUCUACAUGUAGAUGCUGUUUCAGUUACUUGAAGAAGAAAAAAAACAAAACAAAAAACCAAAGCAUUCCCUCUUCAUUUUCCUGAUCUGUUUUGUGCUGCCUUGCCCUUGUAUCUCCUCUGUCCCUUCCUCAGCUGUUUCAGAUUAAAUGAUAAUCUGGUUCUAGGACAUUCUGUAAGACAUUCUGCCUGAAAUCCAACAAACACUAGAAAAGGAGAAUAAAUGCGAUACCACAUGUCUGAAAAGAAUUCAACAUUUUAAAGUUGAAACACAUUGGAGGGUUGCCUUUCUCACUCCCAAAGUGGCUCCCAGGGUCUGUAAAACUGCAAAGGCAAGCAGCUAUUUUGUUAGUUACUUUGCAUGUUUCUCUGAACUCAGGACAGAAGUUCUCAGGACCCUCAUGCUGGAAGUACUCUGGAAUUCUCCUAUCCCCCCACCCUUUUCCAUCUCACUCCCUACUGCAGCCCCCAUGCUACUACUGCCUCUGCAAUGCAUCCCCACCCAGGGCAGCAUCCCUUAGGAAGCUUGGAGAGGCAACCCUCCUUCACUGCUACUGGAAAGUUCCUGCAUACAGCAUACUACUAAAGAAUCCAGGAAGUGGCUAGCAUUAUUAUAAAGGAAUAUAGUAAGCAAGUCUGGCUCACUGACAAGCAGAACAUAUGAAUAGAAUACAUACUUUAAAAAAUUAUACAUACUUUAAAAAUGAAGAUUAUAAACGUGUAGCAGUUUAGAAAAGGCAAUGUGCUACAGGUCUACUAUAACCACAAUUGCACAACAAUUUACAGAUUCAGUAAAAGGCAGGGUGAAAUCAACAGGGCCAUCGCUCAAACAUGGCAACCCAAGCGAGGCAGGAGACGUGUGACAAUACCAAAUGGAACUCUCAUUAUGCUAGGAGCUGUGAUCACCACCAAUAUCACCCCCAGAGGAGUUAUAAAGCCAAGGCGCACAAGGGGGCCCCUGGUGGCCGGUGGUGUGUGCAGGGGGUUGGGUGGCACGUCUGUGUUGGUGCCCACUGUCACGGUGCAAGCAUCAGCAAGAACUCAAGCAGGGAAGUCUGUGCUGAAAUACUAGCCUGUAUUCCUAAGGCCCAUGCAUAAGGUUCCAUUUUUGUACUGUACAUGAUAAAAUAUAUUUAUACAUUUAUAUGCCUAAUGCUUCUUAUGCAAAGAAAAGUCUUCAUAUAUCACUUUGGAGAAGUAUGCAUAUGCUGUGCUAAUCAGAGCAUCAUUACACCAAUUUCAUAUGUACCAAAGGUGGUCCCAACUAUUCCGUCUACCGAAGAAGGUAACGAAUAUAAUCACACUUUCCAGGUUAAACAGAAAGCACCUAUACAGCACCAUAACUGUUUGAAAACACAACAAAAUGAAAUCCAUAGAAGCAGAAAAAAAAGUUAAAACUGCCCUAUUUUGUACUUCCAUUGUGUCACUUGUACAAUUACAACCUAAGCUUAUAUUUAAAAAAUCAGUUUGUAUGCUAUUGCCUCUCACUCAUACACUUCUAGCAGAUCAGAUUAUACACAGCAAGGCUGAAAAUAAUUAAGGAUGUGUAUUAGGAAAACAGUGAAGUUAGAACUGCCUCAGCAUUGACUUGG
ensembl:lncRNA